CAUGGGCUGAGUAAGGCAGACCCGCAACUGGGAAAAGGCAUAGACUGGAUGUGCUAAGAAACAAGGAGCUGUGGAGAGACUUUGAGGAGGGAAGUAGCAAAACCCAAAAGUCAUUCACCCACGUGCCUCAGCUGCAGAACCUGUCCUCAAGGUGCUCACAGGCUGAGGGAAGGCAGACAGAGGACAAGUGGCAACCUACAAAACACCAAAUGGGCUCCAUACUCAACCAAGGUGCCCCUCAGCCAGAACUGGACACAUUGCCAGAGAACUCCAGGGGUCAUCUGGUCGGCUCAGCCUCCCGGUUUCCGACAGACAGUCACCAUAGACUCACCUGAACUGUGAGAAGUAGAGGAAGGCGUCCCAGAGGAGGUGAUUUUAAAGCCCAGGUUUGAGAUGGGUAUGCAUUUCCAGGCAAGAGAGCCCGGCCGGUGCAAAAGCAAGGCUUGGCUCACAAACGGGAAUGUGGGGGGUGGAGACAGGGAAGGGAGAAGUCAAUCCCUGGGCAAGACCUCCUGGAGUCUCUCUAACAAAUAAAUACUACUUUCCAUGCAGUAGACGCUGUUCUAAACACUUUACAAAUAUUAACUCACUUGGUCUUUCUACAACCCUACGAGGUGGUAC
rnacentral:lncRNA from 1 species